UCAAUGGAUUAAACACUCAGUACCUGCACACUUACUCUCCAGAUGGGAGCCGUGGCUUCUCAGCAAGUUCCAUGCCACCUGAAAAAACAGCAUUUCUUGUGGGAAUUCCAGGGAAAGGAAGUAUUAAAGGUCUGUGGAGGCAGGAACUGCAGCCUUCAGCACUGAGCUGCCUCUGCUGUUCCGGAAUGGUGUGCAGUGAUGCCUGCUGUGAUGCAGUUACAGGGAAACUGAAGACCUAAGAAAUGAGAACCAUGGACUUUAAACCUCAGCCUGCGACAUGAAGAAACCAGCUCCAGUUCAUGACCAGGUCUCAUGAACUACAGAGAGCAGUCCACAGGCUGAGCAAGUCUCCAGUAACAUAAACUGUCCACUCCUUUGCUUCAUGCUUCAUUUCCAGGGAAGACUGGUUGUAUCCACCUUUCUAUUUGGGUAUGGCAAUACUCAACAAAGGGGAUGCAAGUCAAAUCAUAUCCCGAACUGUUUGUUGCUGACUACAAAUACUUUCCAGUCAUUGUUAAUUAACAAAACAAAAUAAACAUGUAGCUAGUCUGCACAUUCAUUUAGCCAGGCACCUCAGGCCAAGUUGAGCAGCAGCCCAAAGAAGAGGGUUAGCAGAGAUGUAAUGGAUUGAUUUGGUCUAUAUCUUAACGGGCAAGAGUCCUUGACAUAAAAUCUGCCAUCUCCAGGAGUGCUAACAGGAUUCUUCACUGGAGUGUUCUCCUCAGCAUCCCAGGGGUGUUUCUUUCCAGGCCAGGGUCGACGGUAUUGAUGAAUGAAUGUCUGACGGGAAGACGCUAUUAAUCUGUAUUGUACCUACUCUGAAAAUCAAGGCACUCUCUCAAAGACAGACAAUUCAGUAAGACUCACCAACACAAA